rnacentral:rRNA from 1 species
UUGGAGGGCAAGUCUGGUGCCAGCAGCCGCGGUAAUUCCAGCUCCAAUAGCGUAUAUUAAAGUUGUUGCAGUUAAAAAGCUCGUAGUUGAAUUUCGAGACCGGUUUACUGGUCGUGCUAUUGUACGUACUGGUAUAAUCGGUUUCUCCUUUCUGACGAACUAUAAUGCCAUUAAUUUGGUGUUAUAGGGAAUCAGGACUGUUACUUUGAAAAAAUUAGAGUGUUUAAAGCAGGCUCACGCUUGAAUACAUUAGCAUGGAAUAACGGAAUAGGACGUUUGAUUCUAUUUUGUUGGUUUCUAGGAUCGACGUAAUGAUUAAUAGGGAUAGUUGGGGGCAUUAGUAUUCAAUUGUCAGAGGUGAAAUUCUUGGAUUUAUUGAAGACUAACUACUGCGAAAGCAUUUGCCAAGGAUGUUUUCAUUAAUCAAGAACGAAAGUUAGGGGAUCGAAGACGAUCAGAUACCGUCGUAGUCUUAACCAUAAACUAUGCCGACUAGGGAUCGGAUGAUGUUAAUUUUUUAAUGACUCAUUCGGCGCCUUACGGGAAAC